rnacentral:rRNA from 1 species
CCAGCAGCUGCGGUAAUUCCAGCUCCAAUAGCGUAUACUAAAGUUGUUGCAGUUAAAAAGCUCGUGGUUGAAUUUCUGGUUGUGAUGUGCGGUCAGCCCCAAGGGGUUUGUACCUGCAACUCGUAGCCAUCUUCGGAGAAAACGUGUCUGUCAUUCAGUUGAUGGGCACGGGGACUCUGUCAUUUACUGUGAGCAAAAUAGAGUGUUCAAAGCAGGCAUUAUGCCAUUGAAUACAUUAGCAUGGAAUGAUAAGAUAAGACCUUGGUCUAUUUUGUUGGUUUGACUCCAAGGUAAUGAUUAAUAGGGACAGUUGGGGGUAUUCGUAUUCAAUUGUCAGAGGUGAAAUUCUUGGAUUUCUGGAAGACGAACUGCUGCGAAAGCAUUUACCAUGGAUGUUUUCAUUAAUCAAGAACGAAAGU